rnacentral:misc_RNA from 1 species
GAUGAAGAACGUAGCGAAAUGCGAUAAGUAAUGUGAAUUGCAGAAUUCAGUGAAUCAUCGAAUCUUUGAACGCACAUUGCGCCCGCCAGUAUUCUGGCGGGCAUGCCUGUUCGAGCGUCAUUACAGCCCUCAGGCCCCCGGGCCUGGCGUUGGGGAUCGGCGGAAGCCCCCUGCGGGCACAACGCCGUCCCCCAAAUACAGUGGCGGUCCCGCCGCAGCUUCCAUUGCGUAGUAGCUAACACCUCGCAACUGGAGAGCGGCGCGGCCACGCCGUAAAACACCCAACUUCUGAAUGUUGACCUCGAAUCAGGUAGGAAUACCCGCUGAACUUAAGCAUAUCAAUAAGCGGAGGA